AUUGCCUUAGCUGUGUGAGACUUUCCAGUGCCCACAGCAUCAUGAAAACUCAACUAUAGAAAACAUAUCCAUGGAAUUACAUCAAAUGUGAUCUGAUCAUCACCUCACAUCUGGACACCAGCAAAAUGUACAGUGAGACUUCCCUAUAGGUCCCACCUUGUGUUGCCUUCAGCACCCUGUGAUAUGAGUGGAAAUUGUGACAUUGCAGUGAGCCAGAGGGGCUGCUGAGCUUCUUUGAACAGCAUGACACAGGCUGGAUCAGGACUCCUUUCACAAAUGGAAGGGACUACUCAGCUGAGAAUGGGCAUAGCUGUAAAAUUAAGCAAAGAGCAAGAACAAGAAAUUGAAUACAGCUCCUGAGCAAAGGAACAGGGAGUUCGUGAUAGGUUAUCAGACAGUUUAGGAAGAAAUAAUUGGUUGCUACUGUGGAGAAGGGAUUGUUGCCCACUGGCACUUUAAAGUCAUUCUGUAUCCCAAGUAACAGCAAUUCAAUACCCUGGAGUCCCUUGGAAAAGCUGGAGUCAAAUGUUAAAGACACACAAGGAACUCAGACACACCGAACCAAGACCAAACCAAGCAGAGAACAGAAGGGAUUUCCUUUGCAAUCUGCUG
ensembl:lncRNA